AACGCGUAUACAAUCUACCUUUUACAGAGGGAUAGCCCAGAGAAAUUUGGAUUAAUACCUCAUAGUAUUUUCGAAUGGCAUCAUUUGAUUAUUAAAGUUCCAACGGUAAAAGAUGAGUAUGCGUCCCAUUAGCUAGAUGGUAAGGUAACGGCUUACCAUGGCUACGAUGGGUAGGGGUCCUGAGAGGGAGAUCCCCCACACUGGUACUGAGACACGGACCAGACUCCUACGGGAGGCAGCAGUGAGGAAUAUUGGACAAUGGGCGCAAGCCUGAUCCAGCCAUGCCGCGUGCAGGAAGAAGGUCCUAUGGAUUGUAAACUGCUUUUAUACAGGAAGAAACACUCCCUCGUGAGGGAACUUGACGGUACUGUAUGAAUAAGGACCGGCUAACUCCGUGCCAGCAGCCGCGGUAAUACGGAGGGUCCAAGCGUUAUCCGGAAUCAUUGGGUUUAAAGGGUGCGUAGGCGGGCAGGUAAGUCAGUGGUGAAAUCCUGGAGCUUAACUCCAGAACUGCCAUUGAUACUAUCUGUCUUGAAUAUUGUGGAGGUAAGCGGAAUAUGUCAUGUAGCGGUGAAAUGCUUAGAUAUGACAUAG
rnacentral:rRNA from 1 species